GGGAUUGCCCUAGUAACGGCGAGUGAAGCGGCAACAGCUCAAAUUUGAAAUCUGGCCCUAGGCCCGAGUUGUAAUUUGCAGAGGAUGCUUUUGGUGAGGUGCUUACCGAGUCCCCUGGAAUGGGGCGCCACAGAGGGUGAGAGCCCCGUAUGGUUUGCCACCGAGCCUUUGUAAAGCUCCUUCGACGAGUCGAGUAGUUUGGGAAUGCUGCUCUAAAUGGGAGGUAAAUUUCUUCUAAAGCUAAAUACCGGCCAGAGACCGAUAGCGCACAAGUAGAGUGAUCGAAAGAUGAAAAGCACUUUGAAAAGAGGGUUAAAUAGCACGUGAAAUUGUUGAAAGGGAAGCGCUUGUGACCAGACUUGUGCCGGGCGGAUCAUCCAGCGUUCUCGCUGGUGCACUCCGCCCGGCUCAGGCCAGCAUCGGUUUUCGCCGGGGGACAAAAGCUUCGGGAACGUAGCUCCCUUCGGGGAGUGUUAUAGCCCGUUGCAUAAUACCCCGGCGGGGACCGAGGACCGCGCUUCGGCAAGGAUGCUGGCGUAAUGGUCAUCAGCGACCCGUCUUGAAACACGGACCGAGGAGUCAAGCAUUAGUGCGAGUGUUUGGGUGUAAAACCCGCACGCGUAAUGAAAGUGAACGUAGGUGAGAGCUUCGGCGCAUCAUCGACCGAUCCUGAUGUUUUCGGAUGGAUUUGAGUAGGAGCAUUAACGCUUGGACCCGAAAGAUGGUGAACUAUACUUGAAUAGGGUGAAGCCAGAGGAAACUCUGGUGGAGGCUCGCAGCGGUUCUGACGUGCAAAUCGAUCGUCAAAUUUG
rnacentral:rRNA from 1 species